AACAUCUUAUCAAAAUAAAAAUUAUUAAUGAAAUCAUUUACUUUUUUUUUUUUUGAGACAGGGUCUUGCUUUGUUGCCCAGGCUGGAAUGCAGUGGCACCAGCAUAGCUCACUGCAGUCUCAAACUCCUGGGCUCAAGAGAUCCUCCUACCUCAGCCUUCCAGGUAGUUUGGACUACAGGCACACACCACCAUGCCAUGCUAAUUUUUUUUUUUUAAAGGCUGGGUCUCACUCUGUCAGCCGGGCUGGAGUGCAGUAGCACAAUCUUGACUCACUGCAGCCUCGAUAUCUGGGGCCGAAAUGAUCCUCCCACCUCAGCCUCCCAAGUAGCUGGGACCACAAACAUGUGCCACCACGCCUGAAUAAUUUUUGUAUUUUUUUGUUAAGACAGGGUUUCAGCAUGUUGUCCAGGCUGGUCUUGAACUCCAGAGCUCAAGUGAUCCACCCACCUUGGCCUCCCAAAGUGCUGGGAUUACACGCGUGAGCCACUGCACUUGGCCUGAUUUUUUUUUUCUGAAGAGAUGAGGUCUUGCUAUGUUGCCCAGACCGGUCUCAAAUUCCUGGCUCAAGCAGUCCUCCUGUCUUGGCCUUCCAAAGUGCUGGGAUUACAGAUGUGAGCCACCACACUGGCCCAUUCUUUCUUUUAUACUGAGUAUUCAGAAUUUUUUUAAAAUGUGUUUUCCACUUACAGCAUUUCUCAGGUUGGACUAGCCAUCUUUCAAGUGCUCAGCAGCCACAUGUGGCAAGUGCCUGCCUUAUUGGACAGCACAGCUCUGGAGGGUGAUUUUAUGUACAUCCCCACUGCUCUCUCUGCCUCCUUUAUUCCCAUCUACCCCACACCCCUGCAGUCUGUGACUAUCGUGUCCCUCCUCUCUUCCUGUCUCUUGUAAUCCUUUAAUAUGGAGAAUUAUUUCCAAUUCCUUAACAUCCUGCCUGAUUUUUUUCUGUCUUACAUUCAAGGGUCACAGUUUUCCUCUCACCCUCAUUUCAGUCUUUUCCCAUAACAUGUGACGUGCCUUUUUGUCUUGGUUGGGUAUUUAUUUGCAAUACAAGAAUGAUUGUUUUCUUUGAUACAUUAGUGACUCACAUACUUUUCAUGUUUUUUGAGUACCUCUUUCUUGAAAGAAUUUCAAAUUCUAAAGUUAAAUUAGAAAGCUUUUUUUUUUUUUUUUUUUUUGAGUUGUAGCAAAACUCUGUCUCAAAAAAAGAAAAAAAGAGAAAGGGUGGAAAAGAGGGAUUCCAGAGUGCCAGGCACACAGAUUUUCUGGAAGGUUUACAUGAGGACUGCUGUGGUUUGAAUGUGUUCCCCAAAGUUCAUGUGUUGGAAACUCAACCCCUAAUGCAACAGUGUUGAUCAGUGGAACCUUUAAGAGGUGAUUAGGUCAUGAAGGCUCUGCCCUCAUGAAUGGAUGAAGGUAGGGUGGGUUAGUUAUCUUGGGAGGGGGUUCCUGAUAAAAGGAUGAGGUUGGCUUCCUCCCUUUCUGUCUUUCCCCUUCUCCCUCUCACAUGUGGUCACUCUCUUGCCCUUUUACCUUCCAGCAUAGGACAACACAGCGAGACCUUCACCAGAUGCAGGCCCCUCACUUUCCCAGUGUUCAGAACCAUAAACCAAGUGAACCCUUAUAAAUCACCCAGUCUGUGGUAUUCUGUUAUAGCAACACAAACAGACUAAGACAGGGACACUCAGUGAGCUCUUCUCUCUACUUGAUGGAGCACUCCCUGCGUGGUGCCUUGUAUUUGUAGACAUGAUGCUGUAAAUGCUCUUUGAGUGUCUCGAAGGCUUUUAUGUUUGAGGAGUUUACAGAGAAGCCCGUACAGGGUUCAGGUCCAUUCUGUUGCUUCUUUGCUCCUUAGUUCCUCCCCUAAUCUGAUGUUAAAUUAGAUCAUAGUGUGGUCCUUGGACCAAUAGUAUCAGUAGCACCUGAAAAUCAUGCUGGAAAUACAGAUUCACAGGCUGCUCCCCAGAAUACUGAAGAAGAAACUCUAGGAGUGAGACCCAACAAUCUGUGUUUAACAAGUCCCCAGGUGAGUCUGAUGCACAAAGAAACGUGAGCUGCUGUAUUAGAUGGUGUUGAGUUCAUGCCACCGAAUCACUGACACACACAUCUGCUCACUGCUUGCUCUUCGCACAGGCCCCUGGAUCCUCCUGGAAUCCCUGAUCCCUGUUGCUCCCUUGCGGAGUUUUCUAGUCCCUCUUAUUUGAAGCAUGUCUUUCAGAGCCUCGCACCACCCAGCUUGGGUAUCUGGUGAAUUCUGUGGUCUGCAUGUCCAUGUUUUUGACAUUCUGGGAAGGGUGGCCCAGGCUGUGAUUUGCCAUCUACUGCUGCAGGCUAUGGAUGGUAUUCAGAAGGGAGGGGAGAUGCUGUGUGCGUGUUCUGAAGGGUUUCCCACUAAAUGGAGAGACUGACUCUCUCCAUAAGUAUUUGAUUUUUACUUUAUCUCCUCGUUGACUUCACAGUGUAAGUGCAGUUUGUCUCUACUGGGUGAUGCAUGCAGAUAAAUGUUUAUGUGAACAUAAGAAGUCUGCAUGUGUGGGUGAACUCUCCACAUCAUGUCAUUUAUUGUCCAUCAUUACGUAUCUGUGGUGUCUAGCACAUUCCUCUACCUUAUUUUCUGUCAUUGUACCUACUUCUACCUGAACACGUAUUAAAUAUCUUAUU
rnacentral:lncRNA from 1 species